rnacentral:rRNA from 1 species
GGGUGAGUAAUACAUCGGAACGUGUCUUCUAGUGGGGGAUAACUGCCCGAAAGGGCAGCUAAUACCGCAUGAGACCUGAGGGUGAAAGCGGGGGAUCGCAAGACCUCGCGCUGGAAGAGCGGCCGAUGUCCGAUUAGCUAGUUGGUGAGGUAAAGGCUCACCAAGGCGACGAUCGGUAGCUGGUCUGAGAGGACGACCAGCCACACUGGGACUGAGACACGGCCCAGACUCCUACGGGAGGCAGCAGUGGGGAAUUUUGGACAAUGGGGGCAACCCUGAUCCAGCCAUGCCGCGUGCAGGAUGAAGGUCUUCGGACUGUAAACUGCUUUUGUCAGGGACGAAAAGGGA